rnacentral:rRNA from 1 species
GCUGGAAACGGCGUCUAAUACUGGAUAUGUGACGUGAUCGCAUGGUCUGCGUCUGGAAAGAAUUUCGGUUGNGGAUGGGCUCGGCGGCCUAUCAGCUUGUUGGUGAGGUAAUGGCUCACCAAGNCGUCGACGGGUAGCCGGCCUGAGAGGGUGACCGGCCACACUGGGACUGAGACACGGCCCAGACUCCUACGGGAGGCAGCAGUGGGGAAUAUUGCACAAUGGGCGCAAGCCUNAUGCAGCAACNCCGCGUGAGGNACGACGGCCUUCGGGUUGUAAACCUCUUUUAGCANGGAAGAAGCGAAAGUGACGGUACCUGCAGAAAAAGCGCCGGCUAACUACGUGCCAGCAGCCGCGGUAAUACGUAGGGCGCAAGCGUUAUCCGGAAUUAUUGGGCGUAAAGAGCUCGUAGGCGGUUUGUCGCGUCUGCUGUGAAAUCCGGAGGCUCAACCUCCGGCCUGCAGUGGGUACGGGCAGACUAGAGUGCGGUAGGGGAGAUUGGAAUUCCUGGUGUAGCGGUGGAAUGCGCAGAUAUCAGGAGGAACACCGAUGGCGAAGGCAGAUCUCUGGGCCGUAACU